GAUGAACGCUGGCGGCGUGCUUAACACAUGCAAGUCGAACGGUGAAGCAGAGCUUGCUCUGUGGAUCAGUGGCGAACGGGUGAGUAACACGUGAGCAACCUGCCCCUGACUCUGGGAUAAGCGCUGGAAACGGCGUCUAAUACUGGAUAUGAGCUGCGACCGCAUGGUCAGCAGUUGGAAAGAUUUUUCGGUCUGGGAUGGGCUCACGGCCUAUCAGCUUGUUGGUGAGGUAAUGGCUCACCAAGGCGUCGACGGGUAGCCGGCCUGAGAGGGUGACCGGCCACACUGGGACUGAGACACGGCCCAGACUCCUACGGGAGGCAGCAGUGGGGAAUAUUGCACAAUGGGCGAAAGCCUGAUGCAGCAACGCCGCGUGAGGGAUGACGGCCCUCGGGUUGUAAACCUCUUUUAGCAGGGAAGAAGCGAAAGCGACGGUACCUGCAGAAAAAGCGCCGGCUAACUACGUG
rnacentral:rRNA from 1 species